UUGUGCUCGCUAACCCUAACCAAGGCCAGCGGCGAUGGCGGCGGCGAGCCGAAACGUCAUCGAAGUUUGAGCCCGUGCUGCUAUUCGCUAAGGGACCACGAGGGAUCUAGAGGAGCGACCAUGUGUGUGUCCAUCCAGUCCCAAUGUUUGAGGCGCACCCGAUGCGAGGCGCUGGUUUUGAUUGACCGGAGGUGAGGAGCGGCCGGAUCAAGCGGAGUCGCGGUCGCGCCUUGCAGUCCGAGAAGAAAAGGGGUGCGGCGGCGGCAAGGACGAGAAGGUUGGCAAGGACAAGGAGAAGAAGAAGGCGCACCCACUCCCGUGGUCACCGCCAUGCUCAAGAUCGAUAUGUGUGCGUCGUGGCUUAUGUUCCGGCCACUACUUAAGGAGAAGGCCAAAACACCACGUACAGGUGUUUUGGUAUCUCUUUGGUGUCUCUUUCAAUGUACUGUUGCUCAGCUUGUUCUACCGUUCUCUGUGGUCACAGUGCGCAGGCGGCUCUUCCUGGCCUCAUGGUGCCCGAGAGAGAGGAAGGAGUACACAGCGAUCCUGAUGCUUACUGCACAUAACGGGUGCUGGCCUCAAUGUGGUUCAAUUCAAUAAAAAGAAUGUGCCCUAUAGCAUUUUCUCAAUGCGACGGAACAACAUCCGAGAGGGUCAGCGCUGUACCGAUAGGUGUCUAUACGAGUCGACAGAUUAUGUUACCCUUUGAUAUGAUCCUCCAUGGAGCGAAAUUUAACGUCAUGGGUCACAAAAAAAGGUUUGAUCGGUGCCAAUGGUGUUGCUGCUAUGAGUAGUCUCUUGAGAGCUAAGUGUACGGACUUUGAGACAAUAUUUUGCGAAAUGCUGCCUUCUGAAGGAGGGAUGCAGGUUAUCCGUUUUUGCAAGAAAGGUUAUUUCAUUUCUUAUGUCUUUAUGUGGUUGGGCUCUCUCAAGCAACAGGAAAUACACAUUUUGGCAGGAAAUCGCACAACUUUCAGCAGUGAUGUCCAACAGGCUAUCAUUGAACCCAGCAAAAUAGGAUAGGGAUGCCAGGUAAAACAAUUGUUCAUGCAAAUGUAUCUUCAGCUCUAUAUUCUUUUUGUUACAGAAUGUUGAAUUCUCUUUUAAUUAUGUGUUCUCCUUGCGGACGUUCUUUCCUAUGGAUCAUCUCACCUUUGAAUAAAUAUCUAUUAUGUUCUCUGAGGAAUAAGAGCCCUAUCGUGCGACUUCUCAUGUGUUGUUCCUUUGUUGUUAUUAUGGUAGUCUGUAUGUAGGAACCCAGUUUGUUGUUUGGUUUAUCUAUACAAGAGAACAUGGUUGCCAUACAUUUUAAAUUACAAAACAUGUUACGCUUAUGGGUUACAAUAUAUAGGUAAAGUGUGUAUCCUUUGUGACAAAGAUUUCUGUGAAUUUUUCCAUAUUUUGUCCGGACUACUCGGUCACGCUAACAAAAUGCUAGAAGAGUAAUGCUUCGUAUGAUCGGCAGGCAUGCUCGCCUGAAUUGUGUGCCAUGCUUCCUUGCAAUAGAGGACUUUUUUAUACACUUGAAAAGUAGCUUAUAAAAUCGAAAAAAGAGUUUGCUAAUUGAUUUAUAAAUGACUUUGUGCAUUCAGAGUUUGACAUUGAUAGACAAUGGUGGAAUGACCACGAUCACUCUACUUUGUCGCUUCAUCUUGCAGUACAAUAAUGAUAUGCCAAAUUAUUAGCAUUGCGGAUUUGGAAUAAAGAAUUUUAGGUGCCAUUUAUUUCUUUCUACAUUAGUAUUUGCUAUAAACAUUCCCUUGAUUCUUAAGGUAUUUAGAUCAGUAGUUGUUCUAAUUGUACGGUCCUUUCAUUUCUAGAAUUAUCUCUUCCCUGCAUUUAUUUUAGAAUAAAUAGCUCUUACAGUUUAUGGGUUUUUUGCCAAAUGGAUCCUCCUACUAUAUAUGCAUGUCUUAUUCAGAACAUCUACAGUGGGUUGUCAUGAGCAUAUGCCAUCGUUUCAUCUUAUCUGGUUGUGUACAAAUUUAUCAUAAUAUUUCCCUUUAUGGUGCAUAUUUAAUUUAGUUCAGUUUAGUCCUCACAUAUGGUUCAUUUUCUUGUUCAUCAAAUUUGCGACCAUAAGUGCCGGUGGUUUCUAUACAUGCACUGAACCAACUAAAGCUAACAUUGAUUUUGUAGCUUAUUCCUAGGUAAGAAUAAUGUGCGCUCAUCUUUGCACAGUUUUUAUAUAGUUAUAAGUUUGUAAUGUACAUGACCAAGUGGGGCCACAUGGCUCACUAAAUAGUAUUUGUUGUGCUUUGGACUGUUAUUUAUACAAAAGUUUCAUUUUUAUUGAUCUGAACAAAAAGGUCACCAUUGCAUUUUUGGUUCCAUAUAUGUAGUACUUUCACUAUUCUUUUUUCCUGUACAAAUAUACACGGCGCAAGCAUUGGGAGUAUCAAAUGCACCAAGGGUUGAAGGACCUCACCCAUCCAGUGAGAGCAAUGCAGCUUUCCACAUGUCGUUCAUUAAUCUAUCUGCUUUAGUUGCAACUUGCAAAAGAUAGUCCAUCCUUUAAUUGUAUUGCCGAUGUCACUUACACAUGUAACUAAGAGAAAAUAGGGCUUUGCAAGGAUGUCACACUACUAUCAUUUCCAUGUGUUCUGCCGAGAAGCUUUGUCUAGAUUAGUAUAGUGAUCAGUUCCAUGCAUGGAAUGCCAUUUGUUUCCACUUUCCUUGCAAGGUCACCUCUCGGCACAUUCAUUGUCAUGAAAAGCUUAUGUUGUAAAUUUAUGAUCCAAUUUAUGAGAUACUAGAAAAAACUUUGUAAACAUAGAAGUAAGAGGAUGGUCAAUAUGACCUGGAAAAUAUACAAGAUGAUACAUAUAUAAAAUAAUAAA